GAAAAUGACAAAGGACUGUGUGACCUAUUGUGCGGGAAGUUACACAACAGUUUCCUUCCUCAUCUUGGCAAUGGGGAUCUUCUUUUCUUUCAGCUUUCAGUGAGUACUGACCGGCUUGGAUUUUCCAGAGACUAUCAAGACAGUGCAUCUCCGCGAAUUUCCCUGUCAGCCGUGUGCAGUCUAGAUCCUUUAUACUUCUAGCUCCAAGCAUGGUUUAGUAGAAUUUGUAACUUAAAAUUGUUCAUUGUAAGUUUGAUGCUAUUGUGAGAGGACUACGUCGAACGUAAAAAAAAAAAAAAA